AACGAACGCUGGCGGCAGGCUUAACACAUGCAAGUCGAGCGCCCCGCAAGGGGAGCGGCAGACGGGUGAGUAACGCGUGGGAAUCUACCCAUCUCUACGGAAUAACGCAUGGAAACGUGUGCUAAUACCGUAUACGUCCUUCGGGAGAAAGAUUUAUCGGAGAUGGAUGAGCCCGCGUUGGGUUAGCUAGUUGGUGGGGUAAAGGCCUACCAAGGCGACGAUCCAUAGCUGGUCUGAGAGGAUGAUCAGCCACACUGGGACUGAGACACGGCCCAGACUCCGACGGGAGGCAGCAGUGGGGAAUAUUGGACAAUGGGCGCAAGCCUGAUCCAGCCAUGCCGCGUGAGUGAUGAAGGCCCUAGGGUUGUAAAGCUCUUUCACCGGUGAAGAUAAUGACGGUAACCGGAGAAGAAGCCCCGGCUAACUUCGUGCCAGCCGCCGCCGUAAGAC
rnacentral:rRNA from 1 species